UAGAAUGGUGUAUAUCAAAGGCUGG
rnacentral:piRNA from 1 species